rnacentral:snRNA from 1 species
NNAGAUUAGCAUGGGCCCUGCGCAAGGAUGACACACAAAUUUGUGAAGCAUUCCCAUAUUUU